AAGUAAGAAGCGAUAAAUCGCACUCAGUUUCGACCUGAACUUAGAUAAAUUUUUUAUCCUUACUUA
rnacentral:tRNA from 1 species